rnacentral:rRNA from 1 species
AUUGAACGCUGGCGGCAGGCCUAACACAUGCAAGUCGAACGGUAACAGGAAACAGCUUGCUGUUUCGCUGACGAGUGGCGGACGGGUGAGUAAUGUCUGGGAAACUGCCUGAUGGAGGGGGAUAACUACUGGAAACGGUAGCUAAUACCGCAUAACGUCGCAAGACCAAAGAGGGGGACCUUCGGGCCUCUUGCCAUCGGAUGUGCCCAGAUGGGAUUAGCUUGUUGGUGGGGUAACGGCUCACCAAGGCGACGAUCCCUAGCUGGUCUGAGAGGAUGACCAGCCACACUGGAACUGAGACACGGUCCAGACUCCUACGGGAGGCAGCAGUGGGGAAUAUUGCACAAUGGGCGCAAGCCUGAUGCAGCCAUGCCGCGUGUAUGAAGAAGGCCUUCGGGUUGUAAAGUACUUUCAGCGGGGAGGAAGGGAGUAAAGUUAAUACCUUUGCUCAUUGACGUUACCCGCAGAAGAAGCACCGGCUAACUCCGUGCCAGCAGCCGCGGUAAUACGGAGGGUGCAAGCGUUAAUCGGAAUUACUGGGCGUAAAGCGCACGCAGGCGGUUUGUUAAGUCAGAUGUGAAAUCCCCGGGCUCAACCUGGGAACUGCAUCUGAUACUGGCAAGCUUGAGUCUCGUAGAGGGGGGUAGAAUUCCAGGUGUAGCGGUGAAAUGCGUAGAGAUCUGGAGGAAUACCGGUGGCGAAGGCGGCCCCCUGGACGAAGACUGACGCUCAGGUGCGAAAGCGCGGGGAGCAAACAGGAUUAGAUACCCUGGUAGUCCACGCCGUAAACGAUGUCGACUUGGAGGUUGUGCCCUUGAGGCGUGGCUUCCGGAGCUAACGCGUUAAGUCGACCGCCUGGGGAGUACGGCCGCAAGGUUAAAACUCAAAUGAAUUGACGGGGGCCCGCACAAGCGGUGGAGCAUGUGGUUUAAUUCGAUGCAACGCGAAGAACCUUACCUGGUCUUGACAUCCACAGAACUUUCCAGAGAUGGAUUGGUGCCUUCGGGAACUGUGAGACAGGUGCUGCAUGGCUGUCGUCAGCUCGUGUUGUGAAAUGUUGGGUUAAGUCCCGCAACGAGCGCAACCCUUAUCCUUUGUUGCCAGCGGUCCGGCCGGGAACUCAAAGGAGACUGCCAGUGAUAAACUGGAGGAAGGUGGGGAUGACGUCAAGUCAUCAUGGCCCUUACGACCAGGGCUACACACGUGCUACAAUGGCGCAUACAAAGAGAAGCGACCUCGCGAGAGCAAGCGGACCUCAUAAAGUGCGUCGUAGUCCGGAUUGGAGUCUGCAACUCGACUCCAUGAAGUCGGAAUCGCUAGUAAUCGUGGAUCAGAAUGCCACGGUGAAUACGUUCCCGGGCCU